ACUCCUACGGGAGGCAGCAGUGGGGAAUAUUGCACAAUGGGCGCAAGCCUGAUGCAGCAACGCCGCGUGAGCGAUGAAGGCCUUCGGGUCGUAAAGCUCUGUCCUCAAGGAAGAAUAAAUGACGGUACUUGAGGAGGAGCCCGGCUAACUACGUGCCAGCAGCCGCGGUAAUACGUAGGGGGCAAGCGUUAUCCGGAAUCACUGGGGCGUAAAGGGGUGCGUAGGCGGUUUUCAAGUCAGAAGUGAAAGGCUAUGGCUCAACCAUAGUAAGCUUUUGAAACUGUUAAACUUGAGUGCAGGAGAGGAAAGUGGAAUUCCUAGUGUAGAGGUGAAAUUCGUAGAUAUUAGGAGGAACACCAGUGGCGAAGGCGACUUUCUGGACUGUAACUGACGCUGAGGCACGAAAGCGUGGGGAGCGAACAGGAUUAGAUACCCUGGUAGCACAGAG
rnacentral:rRNA from 1 species